GGGGCUGUGGCGCAGUUUGCUAGCGCGUAGGUCUCAUAGCUAAAUUAUGCGAGUGAUCCUGAGGUCGAGAGUUCGAGCCUCUCUCGCCCCA
rfam:Triticum aestivum genome assembly, contig: Triticum_aestivum_CS42_TGACv1_scaffold_221546_3B